UACGAAGGGGGCUAGCGUUGCUCGGAAUUACUGGGCGUAAAGGGCGCGUAGGCGGAUAGUUAAGUCAGAGGUGAAAGCCCAGGGCUCAACCCUGGAAUUGCCUUUGAUACUGGCUGUCUUGAGUAUGGGAGAGGUGAGUGGAACUCCGAGUGUAGAGGUGAAAUUCGUAGAUAUUCGGAAGAACACCAGUGGCGAAGGCGGCUCACUGGCCCGGUACUGACGCUCAGGUGCGAAAGCGUGGGGAGCAAACAGG
rnacentral:rRNA from 1 species